rnacentral:rRNA from 1 species
UACGUAGGGUGCAAGCGUUGUCCGGAAUUAUUGGGCGUAAAGAGCUCGUAGGCGGUUUGUCGCGUCGAAUGUGAAAACCCGGGGCUCAACUCCGGGCCUGCAUUCGAUACGGGCAGACUAGAGUUCGGUAGGGGAGUCUGGAAUUCCUGGUGUAGCGGUGAAAUGCGCAGAUAUCAAGCGGAACACCGGUGGCGAAGGCGGCCUUCUGGACAGUGACUGACGCUGAGACGCGAAAGCGUGGGGAGCAAACAGG